rnacentral:tRNA from 1 species
GGGGAUGAUCCAUGGUGGAUAGGUGGACAUUGAGACUCUGCCGGGCGGGUUCGAUCCCCGUCAUCUCCACCA